GGACGGGUGGCGCAAUGGUAGCGCAUAUCUUUCCGGUAGAUAAGGCUGCGGGUUCGAGUCCUGUCUCGUCCG
rnacentral:tRNA from 1 species